rnacentral:rRNA from 1 species
GACGAACGCUGGCGGCGUGCUUAACACAUGCAAGUCGAACGGUAAGGCCCUGCUUUUGUGGGGUGCUCGAGUGGCGAACGGGUGAGUAACACGUGAGUAACCUGCCCUUUACUUUGGGAUAACUUCAGUAAACUGGGGCUAAUACCGGAUAUGAGCUCCUUCUGCAUGGUGGGGGUUGGAAAGUUUCGGCGGUUGGGGAUGGACUCGCGGCUUAUCAGCUUGUUGGUGGGGUAGUGGCUUACCAAGGCUUUGACGGGUAGCCGGCCUGAGAGGGUGACCGGCCACAUUGGGACUGAGAUACGACCCAGACUCCUACGGGAGGAAGCAGUGGGGAAUAGUGCAAAAUGGGCGGAAGCCGGAAGCAGGAACGCCGGGUGCGGGAUGACGGCCUUCGGGGUGGAAACCGCGUGCGCCUGUGACGAAGCGUGAGUGACGGUAAUGGGUAAAGAAGCACCGGCUAACUACGUG